rnacentral:rRNA from 1 species
GAUGAACGCUGGCGGCGUGCCUAAUACAUGCAAGUAGAACGCUGAAGGAGGAGCUUGCUUCUCUGGAUGAGUUGCGAACGGGUGAGUAACGCGUAGGUAACCUGCCUUGUAGCGGGGGAUAACUAUUGGAAACGAUAGCUAAUACCGCAUAACAGUAGAUGUUGCAUGACAUUUGCUUAAAAGGUGCAAUUGCAUCGCUACCAGAUGGACCUGCGUUGUAUUAGCUAGUUGGUGGGGUAACGGCUCACCAAGGCGACGAUACAUAGCCGACCUGAGAGGGUGAUCGGCCACACUGGGACUGAGACACGGCCCAGACUCCUACGGGAGGCAGCAGUAGGGAAUCUUCGGUAAUGGACGGAAGUCUGACCGAGCAACGCCGCGUGAGUGAAGAAGGUUUUCGGAUCGUAAAGCUCUGUUGUAAGAGAAGAACGAGU